rnacentral:rRNA from 1 species
CCUACGGGAGGCUGCAGUGGGGAAUAUUGGACAAUGGGGGGAACCCUGAUCCAGCCAUGCCGCGUGUGUGAAGAAGGCCCUCGGGUUGUAAAGCACUUUCAGUGAGGAAGAACGCCUGGUGGUUAAUACCCAUCAGGAAAGACAUCACUCACAGAAGAAGCGCCGGCUAACUCCGUGCCAGCAGCCGCGGUAAUACGGAGGGUGCGAGCGUUAAUCGGAAUUACUGGGCGUAAAGCGCGCGUAGGUGGCUUGAUAAGCCGGUUGUGAAAGCCCCGGGCUCAACCUGGGAACGGCAUCCGGAACUGUCAAGCUAGAGUGCAGGAGAGGAAGGUAGAAUUCCCGGUGUAGCGGUGAAAUGCGUAGAGAUCGGGAGGAAUACCAGUGGCGAAGGCGGCCUUCUGGACUGACACUGACACUGAGGUGCGAAAGCGUGGGUAGCAAACAGGAUUAGAUACCCGAGUAGUC